rnacentral:rRNA from 1 species
UACAGGGGGUGCAAACGUUGCUCGGAAUUAUUGGGCGUAAAGGGUGCGUAGGCGGGUCUUUAAGUCAGGGGUGAAAUCCUGGAGCUCAACUCCAGAACUGCCUUUGAUACUGAGGAUCUUGAGUUCGGGAGAGGUGAGUGGAACUGCGAGUGUAGAGGUGAAAUUCGUAGAUAUUCGCAAGAACACCAGUGGCGAAGGCGGCUCACUGGCCCGAUACUGACGCUGAGGCACGAAAGCGUGGGGAGCAAACAGG